rnacentral:lncRNA from 10 species
CGAGAAAGCACAGGUUUUCAGGACCACAGUUCCCAUUUCUCCUGUUCUGCAGUCCUCGUCUGAUUGGCCAACACUAUGGGCACUCCCUGCUCUGGUGGCCACUGGCAGUGGGCCAGGGUGAGGGCAGCUCACAGCCCGUCUCCUCUCUGUUACCUUGGGACGUCACUCAGCAGUUGCAUCACCGGCUGCUCUCUCCCUCUGAAACAUGAAGCCCUUCCUUUCUUAUUCCACCUUAGGGAAGCCUGGGCCUGCGACAGACCAGAAGACCUCACAUUCCACAGAGAAGACCUCGGUUUCCCCCCAAGCUCUGUCCAGUAUGGAGUGACAAAUCGCUGUACUUAUGAGACAAAGGCAUGAAGUCCAGGUCAAGGCAUGACUUUUCGGCAGCAACUUUUCUAGAUGUGAGGUCACACAAAAACAGGAUUUGGCCCCAGGCUGCAGUUUG